GGUCAACGUGGAUCCCGAGGAUCUCAUUCCCAAACUGCCCCGGCCGAGGGAUCUGCAGCCGUUCCCCACCACCCAGGCUCUGAUUUACCGUGGCCAUUCCAGCCUGGUGCGGACCAUCAGCGUCUCCCCCAGCGGGCAGUGGUUGGUGUCAGGCUCGGAUGACGGCACGGUGCGUUUCUGGGAGGUGAGCUCGGGGCGCUGCCUGCGCACGCUGCCCGUCGGAUCCGUGGUCAAGAGCGUGGCCUGGAACCCCAACCCCUCCAUCUGCCUGGUGGCCGUGGCCGUGGACGAGCAGGUGCUGCUGGG